rnacentral:lncRNA from 1 species
UGUGACGACACCCGUGACACUGUGACGACACCCUGUGACACACAACACAUGCACAGACAGCCACUUGUCAACAAAUGGGUAAGACAGCACUCAAAAGACAUUGUGUACCCAGAGGGUCACCAACCACACACAACUAAUAAGGCUAUGACACAGCUCUGCAGCAUAAACGGCCGACACUGCUGAUCUAAAGUGAGCGCCGUAUAUGCACCUGAAUAGAAAACCACUGGAGACAAAACGCAGACGGCUGAGCCAAAUGCUGCCAUGAAAUGGGAGAAACCUGAGGCCACCUCACCACCAAGCUCCUGAACAACCACCUCAGGAUGUCCUGCCUCCUCCUCAGAGUGCUGACUUUGCUGCCUGCCCCUGUGUGCACUGUGGCUACUGCAGCAGGCCCUCCGCUUCUCCUCUCCACACAGGUUUGAAGGAAACCCUGCCUUGUGUCCUGCAGGGGAAACUUACACAGAGCCUCUUUUUUUUUUUCUUCUGUCAGACAGACAUACACACUCUAAGUAGAGUUAAGACUUGAGUUCACCUCAUUGCCUCACAGAAGAUUGUCUCCUGGGUAAUUCUAUGGG